GUCCACGCUGUAAACGAUGGAUACUAGGUGUUGGGGUAUCGAGUCCCCGGUGCCGGAGUAAACACAAUAAGUAUCCCACCUGGGGAGUACGACCGCAAGGUUGAAACUCAAAGGAAUUGACGGGGCCCGCACAAGCAGUGGAGUAUGUGGUUUAAUUCGAAGCAACGCGAAGAACCUUACCAGGACUUGACAUCCCUUGCAUAACCCUUAACCGGGAAAUCCUUCGGGACAAGGUGACAGGUGGUGCAUGGUUGUCGU
rnacentral:rRNA from 1 species